rnacentral:rRNA from 1 species
UGGGAGGAAAAGAAACCAACUGGGAUUACCUUAGUAACGGCGAGUGAAGCGGUAAAAGCUCAAAUCUGAAAUCUGGUACUUUCAGUGCCCGAGUUGUAAUUUGUAGAAUUUGUCUUUGAUUAGGUCCUUGUCUAUGUUCCUUGGAACAGGACGUCAUAGAGGGUGAGAAUCCCGUUUGGCGAGGAUACCUUUUCUCUGUAAGACUUUUUCGAAGAGUCGAGUUGUUUGGGAAUGCAGCUCAAAGUGGGUGGUAAAUUCCAUCUAAAGCUAAAUAUUGGCGAGAGACCGAUAGCGAACAAGUACAGUGAUGGAAAGAUGAAAAGAACUUUGAAAAGAGAGUGAAAAAGUACGUGAAAUUGUUGAAAGGGAAGGGCAUUUGAUCAGACAUGGUGUUUUUUGCAUGCACUCGCCUCUCGUGGGCUUGGGCCUCUCAAAAAUUUCACUGGGCCAACAUCAAUUCUGGCAGCAGGAUAAAUCAUUAAGAAUGUAGCUACUUCGGUAGUGUUAUAGCUUUUUGGAAUACUGUUAGCCGGGAUUGAGGACUGCGCUUCGGCAAGGAUGUUGGCAUAAUGGUUAAAUGCCGCCCGUCU